CAUUUCUUGAAUUUGAAUUAUUCAUUGAUAAUGUAGGUGAGAAGGGAGAAGAUUAGUGAAAGGAUGAAAUUCCUUCAGGAUCUUGUGCCUGGUUGCAGCAAGGUCACUGGAAAAGCUGUUAUGCUUGAUGAAAUCAUCAAUUAUGUGCAAUCACUACAGCGGCAAGUUGAGGUAUUGAUAAGUACUCCCAGUUCUUCUGUUGUUAUUCAACUUUCAUGCUACCUGGAUGAGUUUUUUUGCAUAUUACGUCGUUCUUCAA